GAUGAACGCUGGCGGCGUGCCUAAUACAUGCAAGUCGAGCGAACAGACGAGGAGCUUACUCCUCUGACGUUAGCGGCGGACGGGUGAGUAACACGUGGAUAACCUACCUAUAAGACUGGGAUAACUUCGGGAAACCGGAGCUAAUACCGGAUAGCAUGUUGAACCGCAUGGUUCAACAGUGAAAGACGGUCUUGCUGUCACUUAUAGAUGGAUCCGCGUCGCAUUAGCUAGUUGGUAAGGUAACGGCUUACCAAGGCAACGAUGCGUAGCCGACCUGAGAGAGUGAUAGGCCACACUGGAACUGAGACACGGUCCAGACUCCUACGGGAGGCAGCAGUAGGGAAUCUUCCGCAAUGGGCGAAAGCCUGACGGAGCAACGCCGCGUGAGUGAAGAAGGUCUUCGGAUCGUAAAACUCUGUUAUUAGGGAAGAACAAAUGUGUAAGUAACUAUGCACGUCUUGACGGUACCUAAUCAGAAAGCCACGGCUAACUACGUG
rnacentral:rRNA from 1 species